rnacentral:ncRNA from 1 species
CCUUAUCAAGACUAGGACGGUUCCCCGCAAGGGAUUGAAAGGGAAUGCGGUGCUGCCCCGAGGCAAAGACCGCAGCUGCCCCCGCAACUGUAAUCGGCGAGCGUCAGGCCAUGACACCACUGGGAAGACCCGGGAAGGUGGCCGGAUGCGAAGACCCGAGAGCCAGGAGACCUGCCGUUCCAUGUGUUCGACA